UGUUUCCAAAUGAGAUCAAACUCAGUGAAAAUGCUUCUCCUCUCUAAACUGAGACAGUUCUUGGGAUCUCCUACCUGUUCAUUGCUUACAUCAAAUGUCAAAUGUCAAAUGUGUAUUACCACUUUACAAGAAAUGUUAGUGUCAUUGUCUUUAUUAAUGAUGUGUGGUGAUAUAAGGUAGACUUUGUUCAAAUGAGCAGUAAUGCAGUAUCAUUAGAAGUUGACAGAAAUCUAUUAGUAAUGUAGAAUCAAGGGAAGAUCAUUUUGACAUAUUUGAUGUAAGCAAGAGGGUCGAACAAGUGCAGCAGCUUCUCUCGCUUGUAAACUCGGUUAUAGCACAGAAUGGCGGGCGGCCAUACAUGGAUGGGAUAUUUGCUGAAGUGAAGAAAAGGGCUAUGAAGCUUCGUGAUCAACAAGAAGAGGUUGCUUCUGAAAAAGGGGUUUUCAAAACGAGUAAUAUCUCAUUUGAAUGAGCAGAUGCAGCUUGCACAUGAUCUGCAGUUUAAACGAAUUACUCAGAUGGUAAAUUUUCAUCUGCAUUUUGUUUGCAUUUAAUAAUUGCCAUCAGCAUGUUUUAACAGUUGGCUUAGUUAAAACUACAAUUUGCACGCUGCAUCCUGUGGCCUGUGCCAUAGUCUUGUGUCUAUUGACCAACCCCUUUAAAACAGAUCUUUGUAUUUGUAAAGAAUGAUAAAUUUGUGUAUAUUUUUUCACAUCGGCUGUUGGUC